rnacentral:rRNA from 1 species
CAGAAGGGAGCUUGCUCCCGGAUGUUAGCGGCGGACGGGUGAGUAACACGUGGGUAACCUGCCUGUAAGACUGGGAUAACUCCGGGAAACCGGAGCUAAUACCGGAUAGUUCCUUGAACCGCAUGGUUCAAGGAUGAAAGACGGUUUCGGCUGUCACUUACAGAUGGACCCGCGGCGCAUUAGCUAGUUGGUGGGGUAAUGGCUCACCAAGGCGACGAUGCGUAGCCGACCUGAGAGGGUGAUCGGCCACACUGGGACUGAGACACGGCCCAGACUCCUACGGGAGGCAGCAGUAGGGAAUCUUCCGCAAUGGACGAAAGUCUGACGGAGCAACGCCGCGUGAGUGAUGAAGGUUUUCGGAUCGUAAAGCUCUGUUGUUAGGGAAGAACAAGUGCGAGAGUAACUGCUCGCACCUUGACGGUACCUAACCAGAAAGCCACGGCUAACUACGUGCCAGCAGCCGCGGUAAUACGUAGGUGGCAAGCGUUGUCCGGAAUUAUUGGGCGUAAAGGGCUCGCAGGCGGUUUCUUAAGUCUGAUGUGAAAGCCCCCGGCUCAACCGGGGAGGGUCAUUGGAAACUGGGAAACUUGAGUGCAGAAGAGGAGAGUGGAAUUCCACGUGUAGCGGUGAAAUGCGUAGAGAUGUGGAGGAACACCAGUGGCGAAGGCGACUCUCUGGUCUGUAACUGACGCUGAGGAGCGAAAGCGUGGGGAGCGAACAGUAUUAGAUACCCUGGUAGUCCACGCCGUAAACGAUGAGUGCUAAGUGUUAGGGGGUUUCCGCCCCUAAG